AGCGAACGCUGGCGGCAGGCCUAACACAUGCAAGUCGAACGAAGUCUUCGGACUUAGUGGCGGACGGGUGAGUAACACGUGGGAACGUACCUUUUGGUUCGGAACAACUCAGGGAAACUUGAGCUAAUACCGGAUGAGCCCUUAGGGGGAAAGAUUUAUCGCCGAAAGAGCGGCCCGCGUUAGAUUAGCUAGUUGGUGAGGUAAAGGCUCACCAAGGCUACGAUCUAUAGCUGGUCUGAGAGGAUGAUCAGCCACACUGGGACUGAUACACGGACCAGACUCCUACGGGAGGACGCCGUGGGGAAACUUGCGCAAUGGGCGAAAGCCUGACGAAGCCAUGCCGCGUGAAUGAUGAAGGUCUUAGGAUUGUAAAAUUCUUUUACCAGGGACGAUAAUGACGGUACCUGGAGAAAAAGCCCCGGCUAACUUCGUGCCAGCCGCCGCAGUAACAC
rnacentral:rRNA from 1 species